ACCAGGGAAAACAGGGGUCGUAUGUAUAUGCUAUCCUUUUAACUUCAAUUAUGUAUCAAAAACUAAUUUUUUUUCAGAUUUUUCUUUACAUUAGUUUGUAAAUACUACUCAUAAUAAAUGUUCUUCUCUUUAUUUUUGUAGGCAGUGAAUUAUCACAGUGCUGGUACUGUUGAGUUUAUAAAUGAUACUCUGUGUGGAGAAUUUUAUUUUAUGGAGAUGAAUAACUUUCUCCAGGUUGAGCAUCCAGUUACUGAGAUGAUUGUUGGUCAAGAUCUUGUAGAGUGUCAAAUAUUGUUGCGAGAUUGCGUGCAGGAUUAUGCGAACAGCGAAGCGGCUGUGGAUUUGAACCGUCGCCGUGUACAGCGACUCUGACGAGCGGAGCUUGCAUAUCAAAUCGGCUCAGCUACUUCCAGAACUGGCGAUCAGGCUAUCCACCCUGGUUAUGGUUUCUUAUCAGAAAGCUCUGAGUUUGCUCAACUUUGUCGGGCAUUACAUUUGUUGGACCUCCUCCAUCUGCAAUUUGUGACAAUGACAUGGUUGAUGAAAGGUUGAGCAUCCAGUUACUGAGAUGAUUGUUGGUCAAGAUCUCGUGGAGUGGAAAAUACGUGUUGCUAAUGGAGAGCCUCUUCCAGCUAGUCAAUCAGAGGUGCCCUUGUUGGGUAUGAUCUCUUCUAUGUGGUAGCUUCAACUUCGCCGUGUUUCCAUGGUGUGUAUUCUUUGGAGUUGAUUUUGAGCUUUUAUCUGGAGCUUCAGCUGUGAUCAAAUCUCAGAUUGUAUCGAGUUUAUAGAUUUUAGGGAUUUUAUUUCCAAACUCAUUCAAAUUCGGAUAAGUAUGCAUAAUUGUUGAACAUUACCAAUCGCAUAAGCCAACUCCUUACGACCACAAUGCUGUCCUCCAAUCAGCACAACUUACAAGUAGGUGAGCCAAUUUGACAUGCAAGCUCCGCUCAUCGGCGUCGCGCAAUUUCACCGCUUUUAAGAGCUUCUCGAUUCUUCCACUUGCUCGGC